GAGGUAGCUGUUAUUAACCCCAUUUUACAGACAAGGAGCCACAGACUCCAAUGAGUCCAAUGAGUAAUGUCACUGAACGGUUUCAAAUCCAAUACUUUUUCUACUUCUCUAGCUUGCCUGAGGGAAGGACUAGAGAGGGCGAAGUGGGUAGACUGAGAUGGAGAUGAGCUGAGAAAGAAGGGGAAUCCCUGCAUCAGGGAGAGAGAAAGCCCACCGAGAGAUGCAAGGCCUGGUUGCAGGGGCUGCAGGGUUGGGAUCAGAGGAGGAAAAACACCAGGAUUUUUGUGUAUUUGCGAUCUGCUGAGGCUCAUCCACGUGAGACUUAGAACCACUAUUACCCACACAAUGGGCUUAUAUUGUUAUCGUUGUAUCCCAUUGGCAUAUUUGACCACAGGAUCUCCAAAAGAGAAUAGAGGCCCUGAGGGAACUGGGGGGUUAAGGGUUUCCAUCCUACAAAAUAAGCACCUCAGUGGGAAGGGGGAAUAGAAGCCAGGUGGGAUGUGGGGUGAGAGUUUGUGUCUGCCUCGUGUGUACAUAUGGUGUGUGGGUGUGUGGAUGGGGUUGUCAGGAGAUUGAUGGGUGAUAGUGUUUGUGAGCUGUGUGUGUCUGCUUAUGAGGGUGAGAAGCUGAGUGGUGUCUGACCUGGUAUGAGAUUAGAUGUGUGUGGUCCAUGAUGGGUAGGAAGUUCAGAUGUGAGAUUAGGGAUGCCUGGCUACUUAUAGCUAUAAGUCCACUAGAGGAAGAGGCACUGUGGGAUUUGUUUUUUUGUUGUUGUUGUUGUUUUAUUUGUUUGUUUGUUUUUACCAAAUGCAAUCACAGUGAAACACUGAGUCCUCCUCCUUCUGCUUCCUUCAACCUUUAUACCAAAUAGCACCUCCUCUAGCUAAAAAUAGGAGAACUGGUGGAAUGGGGGUGCAUAGAGCCUGGGUGCAAAAGGACUCAGAAGAUCCUCACCAAUUACCAGUUAGGAAAAUUUCUCUUUUGUAUCAUUACACUUCUGUCUGUGUCCAAUAAUUUUUAGUUUUGUUCCUCAGAUAUUGCAAUAUCCACCUAUUCCUAUUGGAAAACAAAUUCUUUACCCAUUUCUCUCCUCAGCUUUUUAGCCCAAUACUUUCCCUUAUUGACUUCUGAGUCCAGUAGUUCAAAGGCAAUUUUCUUCUCAAUAUUUGUCUCAAGUUUUGCAUUUUCACUCCUACUCUCACUCUGGGACAGAUUUUUCCCAAUUCUAAGCAUCAAAAGAUUCUUGUUGAAAAGUCCUUCACAAUCAGCAAGCAUAGGGAAUGAAAAAGAACAAGCAAGGGUGACUGAAGCAAAGUGUAUGUUUAGGUGCCAUUAUGUACCAGCCUCAGAUCAGAUAUUUGUGUAAUGGGGUUAAGAAUGUAUAUCUCCAGUGUUGUUACAUGAAGCAAAUGAAGAAUUCUAUAUAAAAGAUUCUAUAAUAUGUUAUGAUACCCACAGGGAAAGAGUAAAUCUUAGAUUGCAGAUGGGUUAAAGGCUACAUUUAGGGAAAAUUGUUUGAAAGCAUGUGAUUGAUCUCAGAAUGCAAAAAGGACAGCUCUUUGCCAUAUUCUCCACUGCAGAUCUCAAAACAUUUAAACUUGAGGAAGUUCCUACUUUUCCAGCUUUGGAGUCAAGGAGGGCCUCUUGAAACCUGAGGAAGCAGUAUCUGAAGCCUGAGGAGAGGAGGAGCAGACCCUGGGAAAGCUGUUAAGGGAAGAGGCUGGAGUCCACGUGGCAGAAUAACCAUUGUGUUUUUCUCCCUAAUACAUCUUACCAUGUAUUGCCAUGUAUUGGUAAGAGCACUUAUGGUUGGUAAACUGACUUACAUAGAUGGAGAGAUAUGGCAAUUCCAAGUUUAUUCUAUUAAGCUUCUAGAGUUACUAAAAAGUUUAUUAAAGGACCAGGUAGGUAGUGGGUAUAAUUAACGAACCAAAUGCAGAUCUGCCUAUCGGCAUGCAGAUUCUUCUUCACCAGGUGACUUUAAGAAGGUGUAUUUUCUAUCCUCUUGCCUCCCAGCCUCCCAACCUUCCCAAAAGUCAACUCUUUUUUUUUUUUUCUUUUUUUUCUUAAUGGCUGCACCUGCGGCAUAUUAAUGUUCUUUGGCCAGGGAGUGAAUCCAAGCUGUAGUUUUGAUCACCACAGCUGCAGCAAUGCUGGAUCCUAUAACCCGCUGAGCCUGGCCAGGUAGUGAACUCAUGCCUCUGCAAUGACCUGAGCUACUGCAAUAUUAAUCCACUGUGCCACAGUCACCAACCCUUGAUUCCCAAGGUUGGUAACUCACCAGAGCACAGGUCCAUGUGCAUUCUUCUGUAUCUGGAAGUCCUUCAUGAAGUAUGUGCUUCCCAAGGUUUGGGAGUUGAAUAGUGAUAAUUAUUUCUUCACUUUCUUUCCACCCAGAUGUUCUGGGGAUGUUUGACCUUCCCUUCUUCUUCCUUCUCAAUAGACACCCCGGGGAUCUUGAGCCAUCAGUGCCCUGUCUCACCCAGAGGCAGGGUGUGCCAACUUCCCUGGGAGUUAAAUAAGUUUAGGUUAAUGCUUUAAAAUCAUUGGAGGGAAAGAGAGGGAAAACCAUAAUUUGAGAAUACAUAUAUAUUCUCAGAGCUUCCAGGAGAAGGAGGAGCAGGGUUAUGGAAGGUAAGAGCGGGUCCGUGAAUAUUUAGAUAGGAGAGAGAGAUUUAGAUAUUUAGAUAGGAGAGAAAAGGGGAACCCUUCCUUGCCACCCAGGCUCUCCCAGGGCUCAGAGUGACACCCCCCCUCCUCCUGCCCUAAUCCCCCCAUUAAGACUGCUCUGAGUUUGUUAUGACAGCGGCUGAAGGCAGCUGAAUUGCUGUUUGCUGUGUCUGCUAAUUGGACUGAAGGGUUGGAAUCUGGACACUGAAAGAGACCAUUGUUGCUGUUUACCUUCCACAACUGCCUCCCUGGGGACCUUCUGGGUGAAGGGGAACAGCAAGCCCUCAGGGUCAUCGCACCCAUUCCCUGUCUCUGCACAAGGGGCUGGGGGUAGAGGGAUAGUUCACCUGUUUGCCUUUGAGUGGUUUGAACUUCUAUGGCACAGAAGAGACAAGCCCAACACCUGAGUCGGUCUCCAGGCCAGGCUUGGGGCCAUUGGGAACUCCUAAGAGGGGGGGGGGUUACAUGCUUGUCCUUCUCUUCCCUAUUCAUUUCCUUCAUCAGGGGCCCUAGCGUUGCCUCUUCCUCCAGCUGAUCAGGCUUAAUCCCUGAAAAUUUUCUUAUCUGCUUUCUUCCAGAUCACUGAUUCUCAACUUGUUUAUGCACUAAUAUCACCUAGAAAGCUUUUUUAAAAAAUGCUGAUGUUGGGGUUCAGUUGAGUAUCUGAGAAUGAGGCCUACCAUCAUAUCAUUUAAAAGAUCCCUUGGUGGAGUUCCCAUCGUGGCACAGCAGAAAUGAAUCCAACUACAAACCAUGAGGUUGUGGGUUCGAUCCCUGGCCUUGCUCAGUCGGUUAAGGAUCUGGCAUUGCUGUGGCUGUGGCAUAGGCCAGCAGCUGUAGCUUCCGAUUGGGCCCCUAGCCUGGGAACCUCCAUAUGCCAUGAUGCAGCCUUAAAAAAUUACAUAAUUAAUUAAUUAAAAGAUCCCUUAGUGUUUCUAAAUGUGCAGCUAAGGUUAAGAACCACUGAUAUAAGCUCAUCUCUCUGCCUAGGAAACACACACACAUACACAGGCACACACGUACCCUUUCCUACCUUCCCUACUUUCUGCUGUCCCCAAGCUCCUAAUAGCUAUAAUACUAUCAGAUGAUUGUGUAUCUUCCUCAUCUUUAUUUCUAAAUUCCUUGUAGGAGCCGUAGGAUUUAGAGGUUUGUAACCUGUCAACUACUUUAACCUGAACCCUAUUGCAAGGGCAGGAACUCCAUCUCCCUGUGGAUUUCCAAGUAGGAUCCAGAUGAGGGCAGAGCUAAUCCAGGACACUCAAGUCAUUAGGGGUGAAGGAGUGUGAAGUUCGGAGUUUGACUCUUGGUCUCUUCCUCCCACAAAGUAGUAUUGGCAAUUUGGAGAGCUUCAGAGAGAAGAAACUUUCAGCAGAAAUACACCUGCCCCUUUCCCUACCAUUUCCAAAUGUUUCUGCCUCUUCUCUUUCCUUUAGCUUCUUGCCUGGGACAGGUGGGUGCUCCACCUCCCUUCCCCUCCCUUUCCUCCUCAAGGGCACCAGAGCCGUAUCCAGAACCAUGGACAGCUCCCAGGCGAGCCCAAAAGAGUGGGAAAGAUGUGACCAAAGUCACUCAGCGGGUUAAUGGAAAGGCCAAGAUCCAGGCUUCUAAUUUCCAGCUUCUUAAGGAGUCUCCUUGCCUGAAUUGGUUGGAACAGGCAUAUUGCUGGUAGGAGAGUUCAAGGUUGCCUCCAUACCAAAAAGGACAGGAUGCAUGUCUGGACAUAUGAGGUGUGCACACAAGCCAGGGAGAGGUGGAACUGACUGCUAUCUCUGUCUGGAGAAGUUUGAAGGGGUCGCCUCAGGGAGAAGCACAGGGUAAGGCAUACCUAACAGUAGCUGGCAAGCCCAUGGGAGAAAAGGCAAGGAGGCAACCAUCUGCCAGGGCAAAGAGGCCAGUAGAUGGCCACAAUGAGUCUCCAGAGGCCAGCAAGAGUCACACAAACUGGAACAGGGCCUGGGAAAGGCCCUUCUGUGUGCCCAGUCCUGCUCCCCCAACACCGCAAGCCUAGAAACAAAGGGGCCAUUCUCUGUAGGAUUUGAUGCCGCAAUCUCCGGCUGGCAGUGCCAGGUGGUGGGGGCAUCAGGGGGUGUCAACCCAUUAUGCCCCCCCCCACCUCUCUAGGUCCUCUGGGGCUGGAUGUUGUGGAGGUGGGUGUUCCAUGCCAUGUUGCCAUGGCAACCACCCCAACCCCCACCUUCCAAAGCACAAAGAGAGACAGCUCUCACCCCCACCCCCAGGAAGAAUCUGGGUCUGGUUGGGAAUCUUCCCUUGGGAAUCCUCCUUUCUGAUGCACAAGCCAUGGCAUGUAUCACCCUCUUUUCAGCACCCGGAGCUGAAGGUUCAGCCAUUGGCAGACCAUACAGGCAGGGAGGUUGGUACAUCCAGAGUCUCUGGGCAAGGUUGUGCCAGUGAGUCCCUUAUACUUAACCCUCUCCCCGCCUCCCAAGCUCUCCUGUCCCUCACCUAUAGCCAAGGCCAUCCUAUGCCUUUUCAGCUGAAGCGAGGAGGUCUUGACCUUCUGCUCUUUCCCAGAAGUGAAGGACACCUCACUACUCCCAGCAAGCUUCCAGGCUGUGGGAAGAGAAGAGAGGGCCAUUCCUGCCACCCUUCAUCUGCACCCUCCGCCAUUACUCAUUAGGCAUUCUGCCCCCUCCUUCCGCUCGUUAAGCCUGAUUUGCAUAUAUUUGCAUAAUACAACUCAUUUGCAUUCCAGGAGGCUCUUGGUAGGAGCCAGGAAAAAAGGGGAGGGGGGUUAGAGAAGAGAAAAAAGGGGAGAGAUUUUGUUUGCAUCAAAGUGUGUGUGGUGGGGGGGUGGCAGGAAGAAGAUAGAAAUAAAAACUCACACUACUUUCUUUCUUCCCUUCUGCCCUCCCUCCCUUAGCUGGACUCAGAUGCCAAAGAGAGAUGCCAAGGGGCCUGCUUUUUUAUCCUUUUUUGUCUUGCUUCCUCCGGCCUUGGCUCCCCAGCCUGGCCCCCCACCUUGCUGGGCUCAGGCUUCAGAAAAAAAGGGACAGGGGUAGGAGGCAAGGCUGUGGGAACGGAAGCGGAGGGAGAGGGAGGCCACUAUCUUAGGUAGCCGGUGCCUGGAAAAGGGCCUCCUGCAUCAGGUGUGGGCUGCCAGCCAGCCCGGGGUCAGUGGCCGUGGCGGGAGGUGAGGCCCUGAGGAGGGGUUUCCAGCUGAUCAGGACCAUUGCUGAGUCUUCCUACUAGCAGAACUGGGGGAAAAGGAUGGAGAGAGAAGGGAGGAGGGAGAGAUGGGGGAUGGUGGCCCCAGAAGAGACAUGAGCCACAUUUAGGAGUAGGUGUUGUGGGAGGACUUCUGCCUGAGGUUUGGUUCCAGACCCCUCAUGAGUUCCAGUGUCAGAGGACUUGGAGCACUAUGCAUAAUAUUAAAAAAAAAAAAAAA
rnacentral:lncRNA from 1 species